CAGAAGUUCCUGGAAUGUGGAAUCACCUUAAAGUUGAAAGAUGAAAGAAACAAACCAACAAUGAAAGGGGAAAACGCAUCUCAAGUUCAAGACGGCCCAUCCCUUCACCCCUCCGUGUCCCCGUAAAUUCAUCCAGUAACUCUAACAAGUCAUCCAGAGGCGGUGUUGCUAUUGGAGGGGACGAGCCGCCGGCUGAGGACGCUGGAAAGCUGUGCGAACGCAGGAGAGCCGGGCUGCUUUUCUUCAUUAAAAUGUACGCAGACAGGCUUCACGGCGGUUCUUUUCUGUUCGUCUCCUCCCCAGCUGUCCAACAGCCCAAUUCUUUUUAAGGGGAAAUUUUAUGAAUGCGCGGAGACAGGUUUUCCUUUGGAUCCCGCUGAAGGAUGAGCGUCUCCUCCAGUCAGUCCCGGGGGCCCGGGGCAGAGCUUUCUCAGACGCACGCUCUUCGGAUGGGCUGAGGACGCGACGAGAAAACAUGGGGCGUGC